GACGAACGCUGACGGCGUGCUUUAGACAUGCAAGUCGAACGAGAAAGCCCUUCGGGGUGAGUAAAGUGGCGAACGGGUGCGUAACACGUGGGUAACCUGCCCCUCGCAGGGGGACAACCGGGGGAAACCCCGGCUAAUACCCCGUACGCUUGCCGGGCCGCAUGGCCUGGCAAGGAGAGGUAGCUUCGGCCAUCCGGCGAGGGAUGGGCCCGCGGCCCAUUAGCUAGUUGGUGGGGUAACGGCCUACCAAGGCUACGAUGGGUAGCUGGUCUGAGAG
rnacentral:rRNA from 1 species